CUGUUUUAUAUGUGCUUCCCAGUCCUGUGGUUCUGCUAUACCGGGGACGCUGAGUCCCCACAGACCUGGAAAAUUGCGGCCCCUCUUUCUCAACCCAGAGCAAAUUGAGACGUCCGGGCUGGAGUGUGAUGGUGCCAUCUCGGCUCACUGCAACCUCCGUCUUUUGGGUUCAAGCUCUUCUCCUGCCUCAGCCCCCAAGUAGCUGGGAUUACAAGUGCCUGCCACCAAGCCUGGCUAAUUUUUGUAUUUCUAGUGGAGACGGGGUUUCACCAUGUUGGUCAGGAUGGUCUUGAACUCCUGACCUCAGGUGAUCCACCCACCUCAGCCUCAGAAAGUGCUGGGAUUACAGGCAUGAGCCACUGCACCUGGACAAUUUUAGGUUGUUUCAAUGUGUACUUUAUAAAGAUAUCAAGGACCUAUUUUGUUUGUUUUGAGAUGGAGUUUUGCUCUUAUUGCCCAGGCUGGAGUGCAAUGGCACGAUCUUGGCUCACCACACCCUCUACCU
rnacentral:sRNA from 1 species